rnacentral:rRNA from 1 species
GACGAACGCUGGCGGCGUGCUUAACACAUGCAAGUCGAACGAUGAACCGGGUGCUUGCACUUGGGGAUUAGUGGCGAACGGGUGAGUAACACGUGAGUAACCUGCCCUGGACUCUGGAAUAACCCCGAGAAAUCGGAGCUAAUACCGGAUAGGACCUUCUCCCGCAUGGGGGUUGGUGGAAAGUUUUUCGGUUUGGGAUGGACUCGCGGCCUAUCAGCUUGUUGGUGAGGUAAUGGCUCACCAAGGCGUCGACGGGUAGCCGGCCUGAGAGGGUGACCGGCCACACUGGGACUGAGACACGGCCCAGACUCCUACGGGAGGCAGCAGUGGGGAAUAUUGCACAGUGGGCGCAAGCCUGAUGCAGCAACGCCGCGUGCGGGAUGACGGCCUUCGGGUUGUAAACCGCUUUUAGUAAGGAAGAAGGGGCUUCGGCCUUGACGGUACUUGCAGAAAAAGGACCGGCUAACUACGUGCCAGCAGCCGCAGUAACAC